UACGUAGGGCGCAAGCGUUGUCCGGAAUUAUUGGGCGUAAAGAGCUCGUAGGCGGUCUGUUACGUCCACUGUGAAAACCCAGGGCUUAACCCUGGGCUUGCAGUGGAUACGGGUAGACUAGAGGCAGGUAGGGGAGAAUGGAAUUCCCGGUGUAGCGGUGAAAUGCGCAGAUAUCGGGAGGAACACCGGUGGCGAAGGCGGUUCUCUGGGCCUGACCUGACGCUGAGGAGCGAAAGCGUGGGGAGCGAACAGG
rnacentral:rRNA from 1 species